CAAGAGAAUAAUACCCCAGUUGGUCUAUCGGCUGGGUGUCUGAGCAAUCAUUUCUUGCUGGAUCAGUGUGAUGGUUGCCUAUUACAUCAGCAACAUUAUUUGACAUUAUGUUUUUGAGAAAUACAGAUUUGCUAAUCAAGCACUGCAGUACCUGCGGAAAGCAUUCGAGGAGUUACAUAUGAAGUCAUUGCUGUGGGACAAAGAGAAGACGUCGUUGGAGAAGGCAGCGGAACAAGCUGUGGCCGAGAGUGAGGCGAUGAGAAGUCGAUGUGUUUAUCUUGAGGAAUGCAAUGCUACUUAACAACAAGAUCUGGAAAGGUACAAGCGUCUUCAACUUAAUUCUGAACAAACACACAAAGUUCACAUAGCUCAGUUGGAGGCCAAGGUGAAACUGAACCAACAAGAAUCAGACAACAAGCAAGAUAGCAUGAGCAGUAGUUACAACAUGAACACGAUGCUGCAUUAUUACUAAGCUAACGAACUCGUUAGCAGAGAAAGACAAGCUGCUGGAAGCAAAGACAGCUGAAUGUGAGGAGCUGAGAGGAGAAUACUGUCGGGAGAGUUAUUGUAACUUGCCAACUCAACAGGGUGAAGAGUGGCAUUCUGAAUUUGUGACGGACAGAAGAGUAACAUCUGAUGUUCGAGCACAGUAUGCAUCACCUUACCAUGAAUCUGAUCAUCAUGGUAUCUCAAGCACCUAUAACCCAACAGAGGAUAUAAGUGAAUACCCUCAGUUGGUCUAUCAGCCGGUUGCCUGAGAAUUCAUCUUCUAGUGGAUUGGCGUGAUGUUUGCCUGUACGUCGGCAUACAUUAUUAACAUAUGUAUGUAUGUAGAAUGUAAGUAUUGUUGUUUUCAUCUGGACUAUGAUGUAUUGAGAGGAUUUUACUGGAAUAUUUAGUUGACGCGAUUAAAUGUACAUAAGUGACAGUAUUAUAUUAGAUCGAGUUCAAUUAAGUAUUUAUUAUAGGACAAUAUAUGAUAUAAAAU